rnacentral:rRNA from 1 species
UACGUAGGGUGCGAGCGUUAAUCGGAAUUAUUGGGCGUAAAGCGUGCGCAGGCGGCUUCGCAAGUCAGACGUGAAAUCCCCGGGCUUAACCUGGGAAUGGCGUUUGAAACUACGGAGCUGGAGUGUGGCAGAGGGAGGUAGAAUUCCACGUGUAGCGGUGAAAUGCGUAGAUAUGUGGAGGAAUACCGAUGGCGAAGGCAGCCUCCUGGGCCAACACUGACGCUCAUGCACGAAAGCGUGGGGAGCAAACAGG